AACGAACGCUGGCGGCAUGCCUAACACAUGCAAGUCGAACGAAGCCUUCGGGCUUAGUGGCGCACGGGUGCGUAACGCGUGGGAAUCUGCCCUUUGGUUCGGAAUAACAGUUGGAAACGACUGCUAAUACCGGAUGAUGACGAAAGUCCAAAGAUUUAUCGCCAGAGGAUGAGCCCGCGUAGGAUUAGCUAGUUGGUGUGGUAAAGGCGCACCAAGGCGACGAUCCUUAGCUGGUCUGAGAGGAUGAGCAGCCACCCUGGGACUGAGACACGGCCCAGACUCCUACGGGAGGCAGCAGUGGGGAAUAUUGGACAAUGGGCGAAAGCCUGAUCCAGCAAUGCCGCGUGAGGGAUGAAGGCCCUAGGGUUGUAAAGCUCUUUUACCCGGGAUGAUAAUGACAGUACCGGGAGAAUAAGCCCCGGCUAACUCCGUGCCAGCCGCCGCAGUAA
rnacentral:rRNA from 1 species